rnacentral:tRNA from 1 species
GAUGUCGCCAAGCGGUAAGGCACCAGACUUUGACUCUGGCAUUCGCUGGUUCGAAUCCGGCCAUC